UGCAUGCAUCGAUGACGAACGCAAAGAAAUGCGAUACUUGGUGUGAAAUGCAGAAUCCCGUCAACCAUUGAGUCUUUGAACGCAAGUUGCGCCCGAAGCCAUUAGGCCGAGGGCACGCCUGCCUGGGUGUCACA
rnacentral:rRNA from 1 species